rnacentral:rRNA from 1 species
CAGUCGCCACGGUAAUACAGAGGGUGCGAGCGUUAAUCGGAUUUACUGGGCGUAAAGCGUGUGUAGGUUGUUGUUCAAGUCAGUUGUGAAAUCCCUGGGCUCAACCUGGGAACUGCUUCUGAGACUGAACGACUAGAGUACGGUAGAGGGUGGUGGAAUUUCCGGUGUAGCGGUGAAAUGCGUAGAUAUCGGAAGGAACAUCAAUGGCGAAGGCAGCCACCUGGGCCUGUACUGACACUGAGACACGAAAGCGUGGGGAUCAAACAGGAUUAGAUACCCGGGUAGUCCCUGUCUCUUAUAC